UACGUAGGGACCAAGCGUUGUUCGGAUUUACUGGGCGUAAAGGGCGCGUAGGCGGCGCGGUAAGUCACUUGUGAAAUCUCUGAGCUUAACUCAGAACGGCCAAGUGAUACUGCAGUGCUAGAGUGUGGAAGGGGCAAUCGGAAUUCCCGGUGUAGCGGUGAAAUGCGUAGAGAUCGGGAGGAACACCAGAGGCGAAGGCGGCGACCUGGACAGAUACUGACACUAAACUACGAAAGCGUGGGGAGCAAACAGG
rnacentral:rRNA from 1 species